UACGUAGGGUGCAAGCGUUUGUCCGGAAUUAUUGGGCGUAAAGAGCUCGUAGGCGGCUUGUCGCGUCGACCGUGAAAACUUGGGGCUCAACCCCAAGCCUGCGGUCGAUACGGGCAGGCUCGAGUUCGGUAGGGGAGACUGGAAUUCCUGGUGUAGCGGUGAAAUGCGCAGAUAUCAGGAGGAACACCGAUGGCGAAGGCAGGUCUCUGGGCCGAUACUGACGCUGAGGAGCGAAAGCGUGGGGGAGCGAACAGG
rnacentral:rRNA from 1 species